UGGCGGCGUGGAUAAGACAUGCAAGUCGAGCGCUCAUUUUCGGGUAGCAAUAUUCGGGAGUGGGAGCGGCGCAAGGGUGCGUAACACGUGGAUCAUCUGCCUGGAAGUUCGGAAUAAUUCCGCGAAAGCGGAACUAAUGCCGGAUGUGAUUGAAGGAUUAAAGCUGGGGACCGCAAGGCCUGGCGCUUCCAGAUGAGUCCGCGGCCUAUCAGCUAGUUGGCGGGGUAACGGCCCACCAAGGCUAAGACGGGUAGCUGGUCUGAGAGGACGACCAGCCACACUGGAACUGAGACACGGUCCAGACACCUACGGGUGGCAGCAGUCGAGAAUUUUUCUCAAUGGGCGAAAGCCUGAAGGAGCGACGCCGCGUGGGGGAUGAAGGGCUUCGGCCCGUAAACCCCUGUCAUUUGCGAACAAGUGUCAUGGUUGAACAUUCCAUGGCUUGAUUGUAGCGAAAGAGGAAGGGACGGCUAACUCUGUGCCAGCAGCCGCGGUAAUACAGAGGUCCCAAGCGUUGUUCGGAUUCACUGGGCGUAAAGGGUGCGCAGGUGGCAUGACAAGUUCGAUGUGAAAGCCCCGGGCUUAACCCGGGAAUGGCAUUGAAUACUGCCGUGCUGGAGGUUUGGAGGGGGGACUGGAAUUCUUGGUGUAGCAGUGAAAUGCGUAGAUAUCAAGAGGAACACCAGUGGCGAAG
rnacentral:rRNA from 1 species